AGUGAACGCUGGCGGUAGGCCUAACACAUGCAAGUCGAGCGGCAGCACAGGAGAGCUUGCUCUCUGGGUGGCGAGUGGCGGACGGGUGAGGAAUACAUCGGAAUCUACUCUGUCGUGGGGGAUAACAUAGGGAAACUUACGCUAAUACCGCAUACGACCUACGGGUGAAAGCAGGGGACCUUCGGGCCUUGCGCGAUUGAAUGAGCCGAUGUCGGAUUAGCUAGUUGGCGGGGUAAAGGCCCACCAAGGCGACGAGCCGUAGCUGGUCUGAGAGGAUGAUCAGCCACACUGGAACUGAGACACGGUCCAGACUCCUACGGGAGGCAGCAGUGGGGAAUAUUGGACAAUGGGCGCAAGCCUGAUCCAGCCAUACCGCGUGGGUGAAGAAGGCCUUCGGGUUGUAAAGCCCUUUUGUUGGGAAAGAAAUCCAGCUGGCUAAUACCCGGUUGGGAUGACGGUACCCAAAGAAUAAGCACCGGCUAACUUCGUGCCAGCAGCCGCGGUAA
rnacentral:rRNA from 1 species